rnacentral:rRNA from 1 species
CCUACGGGGGCUGCAGUGGGGAAUAUUGGACAAUGGGCGAAAGCCUGAUCCAGCCAUGCCGCGUGUGUGAAGAAGGCCUUCGGGUUGUAAAGCACUUUCAGUGGGGAAGAAAGCCUUGGGGCUAAUACCCUCGAGGAAGGACAUCACCCACAGAAGAAGCACCGGCUAACUCCGUGCCAGCAGCCGCGGUAAUACGGAGGGUGCGAGCGUUAAUCGGAAUUACUGGGCGUAAAGCGCGCGUAGGCGGUCUGAUAAGCCGGUUGUGAAAGCCCCGGGCUCAACCUGGGAACGGCACCCGGAACUGUCAGGCUAGAGUGCAGGAGAGGAAGGUAGAAUUCCCGGUGUAGCGGUGAAAUGCGUAGAGAUCGGGAGGAAUACCAGUGGCGAAGGCGGCCUUCUGGACUGACACUGACGCUGAGGUGCGAAAGCGUGGGUAGCAAACAGGAUUAGAUACCCCAGUAGUC